GUGAAGCCAUGCUUUCUGGACUGCAACAUGGAGGCUACCGGUGGAACUAAUGAGCCGGUUUCCGGGGAACUGGUGUCUGUGGCACGUGCUCUUUCUCUCCCAGGAGAGUCGUAUGGCAACGAUCCUGAUAUUGAGAUGGCCUGGGCCAUGAGAGCAAUGCAGCAUGCUGAAGUCUAUUACAAGCUGAUUUCAUCAGUUGACCCACAGUUCCUGAAACUCACCAAAGUGGAUGACCAAAUCUACUCUGAGUUCCAAGAAAAUUUUGAGAAACUCAGGAUAGAUAUAUUGGACCCAGAAGAACUCAAAUCAGAAUCAGCUAAAGAGAAGUGGAGGCCAUUCUGCUUGAAGUUUGAUGAGAUUGUAGAAGACUUCAACUAUGGUACUUUGCUGCGACUGGACUGUUCUCAGGGCUACACUGAGGAAAACACCAUCUUUGCCCCCAGGGUACAAUUUUUUGCCAUUGAAAUUGCUCAGAACCGGGAAGGCUAUAACAAAGCAGUUUACAUCAGUGUUCAGGACAAGGAAGGAGAAAGGAGCCAACAAUGGAGGAGAGAAAGGAGCUGACAGUGGAGGAGAAGAAGAGAAAGGAGGCAACAGAGAAGGAGAAAAAGAGAAAACUGACAAAGGAGGAGAAAAAGAGAAAGAAGCUGACACAGAAAUCAACAAAAGUGGUGAAACAGCUAUGUAAGGUAGACAGGAAACAGCGCUGUAGAAGCUGUGGCUCCGCUGAGCCUGCAAGUACCAUGGUGCUACUUGCACAGACCCCUUUGGUUAAAUAUAUGUUCUUGUGCAGUUGAAGGACACUCAGAAGUACAUCUUUCUAGUCUGAUAACCAGGAGUUGCUCUGGUCAUUUCCUUAGUGGCUUACAGAGUAUUCGUGGGUCUUAGUUGAUUGUUUCUUGGUGUAUUGUUUCUUGGCUCUCACCACUGGUCAAGUAAGAAAUUUUGUAAAUAAAUUUCUUUUGGUUCUUAU